AAUGCUGAUGUCUCUCUGCUCAGUCAGGGCUUGACUUGACUCAACGAUAUUAUUAUUAGAAAAAGGAAUAACUUAAGUAUUUUGGAGUUUGCGUAGACCACUGCUCUUGAAACCCAAAAAUUGGCAUAUGGUUAAAAAUAUCUGAAUACAGUAAGCCCAGAAAUGAAAGAAAAAAAAAAAAAAAAGCAAAGGAAAAGAAACCCUCGGGAAUCAAAGUUUCUGGGUUGUUUUCAACUUUGAUUUUGCUUCGCAAUAUAGAUGAGAAUAGCUAGACAGCACUUCCACUGCGGUGGCAGUAUUCACCAGGGGAGUUCCAAAUGCUUACAAAAAUAGCAUUUCAGGUGAUGGGGCAAGAAACAAAGCUGGUGUUCACUUCUGCCUUGAUUCUCACUUCCUGCUGUCUUAGCAGGACUCCUAAGGUCCAGAAAGGCGACCCUAAAACGGGAAGCAUGUUUCUUCCUUUUUCUAGCAUCCUAGGAGGAUAAAUGGAAAUGAAGUCCCUGGAUAUAGAUGAAGUCUUUUAAUAUUUUGUUAGAAGGAGGUAACAAGUGUCACCAUAUUCCUGAUCCAUUUUUUCAGUGCAGAGCAGACAGACCAACUGAGUACAGCACAGAAGGGGCCGAAAGGGCUGUGCUGUAAAAGGGACACCAGGGGGCAGCUCUGAGCUCUAAUUUGAGCCCGGUUUGCAAUCAGGUUUUCAUUUUCUGCCUUAGAUUUCCAUGUCACUCAAUGAACACAUGGCUGUUCUGUCCUAUAUAAAAAAGGCAAUGAUUUUCUGCUAAGGAGUUACUCUUCCUUAGAUUAAAAUAUUCGUUUUGCGUUUCUCCAAUUCACGUACAAAGGCCUUUAGAUUGAGAGGCAGUUAUGUGUUAAUUCUUAGACCAAGAAAGCUCUUCUAGACCUAAUAGCUCUGCCACUGGUAUAAAAUAAUUAUACUUCCACUGUUCAUGACUUUGAGCAAGGAAAGGCAGAAUAUCUGAAGCCUGGAAAAUCCCCAAUGUUAUUUUGGAGACUGAUAUUUACAUUUAUUUGUUACCAGACUUGUCAGAUGAUUAGAUUUGAAUUUUACCUCCUCUGUCUACAGUUUCUCACUCUUGGACGGGAGCACUACAAGGCAAGGAAAUGUGCGAAAGAAUAGGCAAAAGGAGGAUGACCCACAAAUGGAAUCAUUAUUUCUCAAAAGUUGAGGGUAGGGCUGACAAAUUCUGAGGAAAUGGAACUGCAAGUCCAGGAAAAGGUGAGGAAAUGAGGAAGAGCUCAAGGGAAGAGGCACGGCCCCCAGAACUGCUCCUGUGUUCAGACUGUUCAAAUCAUUUCCUUGCCAAAGAACUGGUGGCAGCGGGUCCGUCCGUGAGGACCUCAGAGUGGGGCUGGCAGGAAUGGGCACCCAGACGGCGAAAGCUGGUAGCAGGCAUCAGGUGUGGGUGGCUUCAGGGACCAGUGGCCAGAGACCACAGAGGGGACUGAAUGAAGUGGCGCCGUCCUGGUACCUUAUUUCUCCCGUCAGUCUGGCUUCAUGUGGACUGCCGCAAGAGUUUCUUAUUCUUACAUUCCAAUAUUUGCACAUUUAAAAAUACAUCCUCUGGUUUGCUCUCCUGCAUGUAUUCAACACCUGAAUUAAAAUGAGUUUUCUUGGU